GUGUGUGUGUGUGUGUGUGAGAGAGAGAGAGAGAGAGAGAGCAACUCAACUUAAUUGUGUGUGUUAAGAAAAAGUGGAAUUUGGUCAAGGUGAGUAAUGUCCGAGAGAACAAGCACAGCUGAGUGUAUUGUGUCAGUGUGUGGGCGUGAGAGUGACCACAGCUGUGUGUCUGCAGCAGUUAUCUCCCCAUGCAGAGCUGAUGAUAUAUUCAAAUAUUGCCCUCAUUAAUCCAAAAGACGCUGUCCUAGCUGUCCCUCUGCAGGUGUAGUUUAAAUCAGUUUGCCAGCAAAUAUAGCUAUUUGACCGCUAGAAAAAAACUAUUGGAUUAAGUUACAGUGUUUAUAUGCUUUAAUAUUGAAUAAUAAAGAAUCCUCUUUUCAAGUUUCAAGCAAAGGAUAUCAUUGAGGCUCUUCUACAAUCUGCUCCUUGCCAGUGGUGCUGGUGUCAGGCGCUGAUGUCACUUCAGUUAUCUGCAUUCACAGCGAUCCCAUCCACUUUCAUUCGUUGACUGUGAGACAUUGUCGGAUUUGCAGACACUGCUCUUCAUUACCUGCCUCUCAGUUUACUGACCCUCUGAACCCUGGAGUACCUCAGGACUCCGUCCUGGGUUUGUUUAGUUCCUCCUCAGAAUGGGUCAGAAUGUGUUGAAUUAUAUCUGCCAUCUGGAAUUUGAUAGAACUGGUUCUACUGGUUUCACCGCUGUCUCCGUGGCAACUGGAUUGUCAACCACGACAUCAGCAUAGGUCCCAUGUGCUAUAGUUGUUUGUACUUGUACACACAAUGCAACAUCAGAAAUGUUUCCAUUCAGAGCUCCAUUUUCAAUUAGCGGUGGGGGAGGUAGAUGAAGUCGGGCCUUAAGCGGACACCCAUCCGGAAUCCCAGCUGCUUCCAGGAGACGUCCACGUGUGGUCACUUCAGUCAGGUUCUCAAUCUAAAUGCAAAGAUGUCUAUUUUUCUUUCCAUCAAUCCUGCGUGUAAAUCAAGAUGCUUGAGGUCCCCUCAAAAAUUGAAAAGUGCUUGUGUUAGAAAAUUGACUGUUUUCUAUCCCUGUCCCCUAAAGUGUAACUCGAAGAGUUACCCGCAAGGCAAAUAGUGCAACAAAUAAUAAAAUAGUAUAAUAAGUUAGAAUGGUAAAAACAGUAAAAAAAAGUAUAAAGCACAUCUUUGGGAAAAAGUCGGCGGCCUCACCAGCUGGGGGUGUGAAGGGAGAAACAUCAUUUUUUCAUGUGUUGCAGGGUAGAGCUGAUUAACCCUAAUAUGAUAGUUCGUUGUUGUUUUAUUCAUAAAAAUGUUAUUUUAAAAAUAAUUUUCUUUGUUCUUUGUUACAGGAGCAUACGCUCAAAUGUGUCAUUUCAUUGCAUUUGAAAUGUUUUCCUCUGAUUGGAACUCUAAGCUCGUGGUAAUUUCCGGAUGGCACUCGCAGCUGGAAAACAGAACUCCUGUAGAUUUCUUUUUCCAAGCAGUGAAAUAACCUUUUUUAAACUGGCAUACAAAAAUUUUAGGUAAUGGGUGAAGGCACAAUGACACAAAAACUGAUGAAUGUGAUUUUAGCUAAACUGUAGAAUGGAUUCUCUCUGCAAUGCUCUCUGGAUUUGUUUAUACUUUUAAUGCUUGUUAUUAUGCUUUCUCUUACAUUAGCCAUUUCUCGCAUCGAGUACCUGUUAACAUAACUGCCGUGUUUUGGUCAAUAAACAGGUGAUUUAUCUA